AUGUUUGAGCAAUUCGGACAUAUAUUUUAUGAGUGCGGUGCAUAUCAGGUUGAGGAGAUUGAGAAAGGAAAAGAAUACAUUGCAAUACAUACCGAUGCAGCGCGUAGGGAAAAGUGGUGUAAAACGUCAUACAAGGUAUCCGUUAUGGAAGGAGGGGAUGAGUUUGAAUGCGAGUGUGGCCAGUUUGCACACAUGGGUCUGCUCUGCAGCCACGCCCUGAAGGUGAUGGACAUGUGUUGUUUAUCAUGA
rnacentral:rRNA from 1 species